rnacentral:rRNA from 1 species
UACAGAGGUCUCAAGCGUUGUUCGGAUUCAUUGGGCGUAAAGGGUGCGUAGGUGGCGCCGUAAGUCAGGUGUGAAUCUCGGGGCUCAACCCCGAAACUGCACUUGAUACUGCGGUGCUCGAGUACUGGAGAGGAGAUUGGAAUUUACGGUGUAGCAGUGAAAUGCGUAGAGAUGUGGAGGAAUACCGAUGGCGAAGGCAGCCCCCUGGGCCAACACUGACGCUCAUGCACGAAAGCGUGGGGAGCAAACAGG